rnacentral:misc_RNA from 1 species
UGGUUGUACACGACCAGUCCAGCACACAUCGCAAUUCAUAAAGGAAUGGCAGAGCUCGAUAAAGUCUAUACCCUAAAUAAUUAAUUCGUGAAACUUGACUAGUCAAAAACUGUCGAUACAAGGUGCUUUUAUGAGGAAUCCCUUGGCGGAUUUGUAUGGCUUGCAGUGAUAGAGAAACUGCUUUUGCAAGAAAUAUAGCACGGAGUGCAAACC